GACGAACGCUGGCGGCGUGCUUAACACAUGCAAGUCGAACGGAAAGGCCCUGCUUUUGUGGGGUGCUCGAGUGGCGAACGGGUGAGUAACACGUGAGUAACCUGCCCUUGACUUUGGGAUAACUUCAGGAAACUGGGGCUAAUAUCGGAUAGGAGCUCCUGCUGCAUGGUGGGGGUUGGAAAGUUUCGGCGGUUGGGGAUGGACUCGCGGCUUAUCAGCUUGUUGGUGGGGUAGUGGCUUACCAAGGCUUUGACGGGUAGCCGGCCUGAGAGGGUGACCGGCCACAUUGGGACUGAGAUACGGCCCAGACUCCUACGGGAGGCAGCAGUGGGGAAUAUUGCACAAUGGGCGGAAGCCAGAUGCAGCAACGCCGCGUGCGGGAUGACGGCCUUCGGGUUGUAAACCGCUUUCGCCGGUGACGAAGCGUGAGUGACGGUAAUGGGUAAAGAAGCACCGGCUAACUACGUG
rnacentral:rRNA from 1 species